ACUUGGCUGGCUCAGUUGGUAAAGCUUGUGACUCUUGAUCUCAGGGUUGUGAGUUUGAGCCCCACGUUGGGUU
rfam:Ailuropoda melanoleuca scaffold785_13, whole genome shotgun sequence.